CCUACGGGAGGCAGCAGUGGGGGAUAUUGCACAAUGGGGGAAACCCUGAUGCAGCGACGCCGCGUGGGUGAAGAAGCGCCUCGGCGCGUAAAGCCCUGUCAGCAGGGAAGAAAAUGACGGUACCUGAAGAAGAAGCCCCGGCUAACUACGUGCCAGCAGCCGCGGUAAUACGUAGGGGGCAAGCGUUAUCCGGAUUUACUGGGUGUAAAGGGGGCGAAGACGGCGAUGCAAGCACGGAGUGAAAGCCCGGGGCCCAACCCCGGGACGGCUCUUGGAACUGCGUGGCUAGAGUGCAGGAGGGGCAGGCGGAAUGCCUGGUGUAGCGGUGAAAUGCGUAGAUAUCAGGAGGAACACCGGUGGCGAAGGCGGCCUGCUGGACUGCAACUGACGUUGAGGCCCGAAAGCGUGGGGAGCAAACAGGAUUAGAUACCCCAGUAGUC
rnacentral:rRNA from 1 species